UUCCCCCCCGCCCCGUCGCUCCGACCGAUUGAAUGGCUCAGUGAGGCUUCCGGACUGGCUCGGGGAGGUCGGCAACGACCACCCUGGGCCGGAAAGCUAUCCAAACUCGGUCAUUUAGAGGAAGUAAAAGUCGUAACAAGGUCUCCGUUGGUGAACCAGCGGAGGGAUCAUUACCGUGCCGGCGCUCAGCGCUAGUUCAACCCUUCUGUGGAAAUAUCAAAACGUUUGCCUCGGCGGGCCUGGCCCGCCGCCGGCACCAACACAACUUUUCCACACUGCAUUCUGAGUGGGCGUAGACCUAAUAAGUCAAAACUUUCAGCAACGGAUCUCUUGGCUCUGGCAUCGAUGAAGAACGCAGCGAAAUGCGAUAAUUAGUGGGAAUUGCAGAACUCAGUGAAUCAUCGAAUCUUUGAACGCACAUUGCGCCCGCCGGCAUCCCGGCGGGCAUGCCUGUCCGAGCGUCAUAUCAACCCCUCGGGCCACCUAUCCACCAUGCGUGGGCGGGGUCGGCCCGGCGUUGGGGCACCGCUGGCUGGUUUCCUCCAGCCCGCCGGGCCCCUAAAUCCAGCGGCGGACGCCUCCUGGCCACCCAGCGCAGUAUAAUCGCUAUCGCUGAGGUGCAUGGGGGGCUGCCCUGCCUACCGCCUAGCGGCACACACAACGUUUGACCUCGGAUCAGGUAGGACUACCCGCUGAACUUAAGCAUAUCAAUAAGCGGAGGAAAAGAAACCAACAGGGAUUGCCCCAGUAACGGCGAGUGAAGCGGCAACAGCUCAAAUUUGAAAUCCGGCCUUGCGGCCCGAGUUGUAAUUUGCAGAGGAUGCUUCUGGCGACGUGCCUUCCGAGUCCCCUGGAACGGGGCGCCGGAGAGGGUGAGAGCCCCGUACGGUGGGACACCUAGCCUAUGUGAAGCUCCUUCGACGAGUCGAGUAGUUUGGGAAUGCUGCUCUAAGCGGGAGGUAAAUUCCUUCUAAAGCUAAAUACCGGCCAGAGACCGAUAGCGCACAAGUAGAGUGAUCGAAAGAUGAAAAGCACUUUGGAAAGAGGGUUAAACAGUACGUGAAAUUGCUGAAAGGGAAGCGCUUGCGACCAGACUCGGGCCUGGCGGAUCAUCCGGCGUUCUCGCCGGUGCACUUCGUCAGGCCUGGGCCAGCAUCGGUUCUGCUGGGGGGACAAAAGUCGGGGAAACGUAGCUCCUUCCGGGGAGUGUUAUAGUCCCCGGCCUAAUACCUCCGGCGGGACCGAGGACCGCGCUAACGCAAGGAUGCUG
rnacentral:rRNA from 1 species